CCUACGGGAGGCAGCAGUGGGGAAUCUUGGGCAAUGGGCGCAAGCCUGACCCAGCAACGCCGCGUGAAGGAAGAAGUCUUUCGGUAUGUAAACUUCUUUUCUCAGGGACGAAGCAAAUGACGGUACCUGAGUAAUAAGCCACGGCUAACUACGUGCCAGCAGCCGCGGUAAUACGUAGGUGGCAAGCGUUAUCCGGAUUUACUGGGUGUAAAGGGCGUGUAGACGGGAAAGCAAGUCAGAUGUGAAAACCAUGGGCUCAACCUGUGGCCUGCAUUUGAAACUGUAUGUCUGGAGUACAGGAGAGGUAGAUGGAAUUCCUAGUGUAGCGGUGAAAUGCGUAGAUAUUAGGAGGAACACCAGUGGCGAAGGCGGUUUGCUGGACUGCAACUGACGUUGAGGCGCGAAAGCGUGGGGAGCAAACAGGAUUAGAUACCCUUGUAGUC
rnacentral:rRNA from 1 species